GGCCUAACACAUGCAAGUCGAGCGGUAGCGGGAAGAGCUUGCUCUUUGCCGACGAGCGGCGGACGGGUGCGUAACACGUAGGAAUCUGCCCGGUAGUGGGGGAUAGCCCGGAGAAAUUCGGAUUAAUACCGCAUACGCCCUAAGGGGGAAAGCAGGGGAUCUUCGGACCUUGCGCUAUCGGAUGAGCCUGCGUCGGAUUAGCUUGUUGGUGGGGUAAAGGCCCACCAAGGCGACGAUCCGUAGCUGGUCUGAGAGGAUGAUCAGCCACACUGGGACUGAGACACGGCCCAGACUCCUACGGGAGGCAGCAGUGGGGAAUAUUGCACAAUGGGCGAAAGCCUGAUGCAGCCAUGCCGCGUGUGUGAAGAAGGCCCUAGGGUUGUAAAGCACUUUCAGUGGGGAGGAAAGGUCGAAGGUUAAUACCCUUUGGCUGUGACGUUACCCACAGAAGAAGCACCGGCUAACUCCGUGCCAGCAGCCGCGGUAAUACGGAGGGUGCGAGCGUUAAUCGGAAUUACUGGGCGUAAAGCGUGCGUAGGCGGCCAUUUAAGUUGGAUGUGAAAGCCCCGGGCUCAACCUGGGAACUGCAUCCAAAACUGGGUGGCUUGAGUGCGAGAGAGGAGUGUGGAAUUUCCUGUGUAGCGGUGAAAUGCGUAGAUAUAGGAAGGAACACCAGUGGCGAAGGCGACACUCUGGCUUGACACUGACGCUGAGGUACGAAAGCGUGGGGAGCAAACAGGAUUAGAUACCCUGGUAGUCCACGCCGUAAACGAUGUCUACUAGUUGUCGGUGGUCUUGUACUGCUGGUAACGCAGCUAACGCGAUAAGUAGACCGCCUGGGGAGUACG
rnacentral:rRNA from 1 species